rnacentral:rRNA from 1 species
AACGAACGCUGGCGGCAUGCCUAACACAUGCAAGUCGAACGAAGGCUUCGGCCUUAGUGGCGCACGGGUGCGUAACGCGUGGGAAUCUGCCCUUGGGUACGGAAUAACUCCUCGAAAGGGGUGCUAAUACCGUAUGAUGUCGUAAGACCAAAGAUUUAUCGCCCGAGGAUGAGCCCGCGUUGGAUUAGCUAGUUGGUGGGGUAAAGGCCUACCAAGGCGACGAUCCAUAGCUGGUUUGAGAGGAUGAUCCGCCACACUGGGACUGAGCCACGGCCCAGACUCCGACGGGAGGCAGCAGUGGGGAAUAUUGGACGAUGGGCGCAAGCCUGAUCCAGCAAUGCCGCGUGAGUGAUGAAGGCCUUAGGGUUGUAAAGCUCUUUUACCCGGGAAGAUAAUGACUGUACCGGGAGAAUAGGCCCCGGCUAACUCCGUGCCAGCCGCCGCCGUAACAC